UCGUAGAUUUCCAGCAGCAACUAAAGCAUCUUCCAAGCGGAGCAACACAAAAAAAUAAGAAACAAAAUGAACUACAAUUUAUUCACAUGUGCUGCUAUACUUUUGGCACUAAGUGUAGCCGAAUCUAAUGCUAAUUUGUGGGACGAUAUAACCGAUAAAUUUGAGGACAUGGUCGAUGCAAUUAAAGAUUUGUUCUCGUAAACUAACUCAAAGUGAUUGAACAAUAAAUAAAAUGUUAUAUGUAACAAAAAAAUACAUACAUUUCAAGAUGGAAAACAAAGUAAACUCAAUUAUGCAAUAAACUAAACCAUAAUAAACUUCA